GCAUCCCAAUUUGAGAGAAGUAGAGAGCAAUUGCAAGUGAGCUCUUUCCACUUGAGUGUUCUAGUGAGCUCUUUGAGAGAAUUUGAGAGAGUUUCCACUUGAGUGUUCUAGUGAGGAUCCAUUUGGGUGUAUUAGGGUUGUGGGUUUUGUGAGUUUUUCCUACUUUUGUAAAUUCUCAUUAUUAGUAAAAUUAUCUCCCAGUCUUUGCCCAUGGACGUAGGCAUUACGCCGAACCACAUAAAUUAUUGUGUCCUAUUUUCUUUGCAUUUAUUUGUCACAUUUAUAUUUCUCCAAAAGUUACAGUCAUUGUAAUAUUGGUAAUUGCUCGACCUCGCACUUCCGCAACAAAACAUUCAUGGGAAGCAAUGUUGGAAUACAAAACUGCGAGAAAACGUAAUGCUUUGAGCGUGUUGGACGCACUGAAAGAUGAUGAAAAUUUACUUUGCCAAAGAUAAUUCCUCUUUAUAAUGAUAAUUUCAAUUUUGUUUGUUUCAAAGAAAUCAAUGAGAGGAUUUCAUGCUUUCUAAUUAAUUCCUCCAAUAAAUUUAAUAAUAUUUACAUUGUAAAAUAAUUUCAAUACUUAGAAAAUAUUUUAAUACUUUACAACCUAUUAGAUAUAUUUUAUUAUAUAACAUUAAAUUUAUAAUAAAUAGAAUCAUAAUAUUAAAACAAGUG
rnacentral:lncRNA from 1 species